CACGUAGGGGGCAAGCGUUGUCCGGAUUUAUUGGGCGUAAAGAGCUCGUAGGCGGUUCGGUAAGUCGGGUGUGAAACCUCCAGGCUCAACCUGGAGUCGCCACUCGAUACUGCUGUGACUAGAGUCCGGGUAGGGGAGCGUGGAAUUCCUGGUGUAGCGGUGAAAUGCGCAGAUAUCAGGAGGAACGCCAGCGGCGAAGGCGGGCGCUCUGGGCCGGAACUGACGCUGAGGAGCGAAAGCGUGGGUAGCAAACAGG
rnacentral:rRNA from 1 species